UACGUAGGGUGCAAGCGUUGUCCGGAAUUAUUGGGCGUAAAGAGCUCGUAGGCGGUCUGUCGCGUCGGCUGUGAAAUCCCGGAGCUCAACUCCGGGCCUGCAGUCGAUACAGGCAGACUGGAGUUCGGCAGGGGAGACUGGAAUUCCUGGUGUAGCGGUGAAAUGCGCAGAUAUCGGGAAGAACACCCGUGGCGAAGGCGGCACUCUGGGACGGUACUGACGCUGAGACGCGAAAGCGUGGGGAGCGAACAGG
rnacentral:rRNA from 1 species